CUUCUUGUUUUCCCGCCUAUUAUUACCGCCGUCCGUCCAGCUUUACCCUAUGAAGGCCCAACAGUAAGCAAAAUAGGGCUCACCCAAAAACGUCAGGUCGAGGUGUAGCGUACGAAGUGGGAAGAAAUGGGCUACAUUACCUGCAACAACAGGAUACCACGGACGGCACCAUGAAACUAGUGCCCAAAGGUGGAUUUAGUAGUAAAAAACAAAUAGAGAGUCUUUUUGAAUUAGGCUCUGAGGCGCGCACACACCGCCCGUCACUCUCCCCUACCCUAUCUAAACCUAACAUUCCUAAUAACACAAACCCUGCUACGGGGAGGCAAGUCGUAACAUGGUAAGUGUACCGGAAGGUGCACUUGGAAUAAC
rnacentral:rRNA from 1 species